AGGGCGCAUGGCGGAUGCCUUGGCUCUCGGAGGCGAUGAAGGACGUGAUAAGCUGCGAUAAGCUCCGGGGAGGUGCAAAUAACCUUUGAUCCGGGGAUUUCCGAAUGGGACAACCCGGCGUGUUGAAGACACGCCACCUGAUCAUUUCAGGAGCUAACGCAGGGAACUGAAACAUCUUAGUACCUGCAGGAAAAGAAAAUAACAAUGAUUCCCCCAGUAGUGGCGAGCGAACGGGGAAUAGCCCAAACCGUUCAUGUUACGGCAUGAUCGGGGUUGUAGGACUACGUCGUUGCAUGAAGACAUCGGAGAAGAACUUUCUGGAAAGAAAGACCAUAGAGCAUGACAGUUGCGUAUUCGUAUGUUGUCGAAGCAUAGUAGUAUCCUGAGUAGCGCGGAGCACGAGGAAUUCUGCGUGAAUCUGCCGGGACCAUCCGGUAAGGCUAAAUACUCCCGAGAGACCGAUAGCGAACCAGUACCGUGAGGGAAAGGUGAAAAGCACUUCGAACAGAAGAGUGAAAUAGUUCCUGAAACCGUGCGCCUACAAGCGGUCGGAGCUGCUUAAAGCAGUGACGGCGUGCCUUUUGCAUAAUGAACCUACGAGUUGCCUUUGCCGGCAAGGUUAAGUGUGACGACACACGUAUCCGAAGCGAAAGCGAGUCUGAAGAGGGCGUAUAGUCGGCAGUGGCAGACGCGAAACCAAGUGAUCUACCCUUGGCCAGGUUGAAGGCUGGGUAACACCAGCUGGAGGACCGCACCAAUAAGCGUUGAAAAGCUUCUGGAUGAGCUGAGGGUAGGGGUGAAAGGCUAAUCAAACUUGGAGAUAGCUCGUACUCCCCGAAAUGCAUUUAGGUGCAGCCUUGAGAGUUACUAAUGUGAGGUAGAGCGACUGAUAAGAUGCGAGGGCUUCACCGCCUAUCAAGUCUUGACAAACUCCGAAUGCGUGUCAGUUCUAUGUCAGGAGUGAGGGCAUGGGUGCUAAGGUCCAUGUCCUAAAGGAGAACAAUCCGGACCAACAGCUAAGGUCCCGAAAUGAAUACUAAGUUGAACUAACGAAGUCAGAUUGCUAAGACAGCUAGGAUGUUGGCUUGGAAGCAGCCAUUCAUUUAAAGAGUGCGUAACAGCUCACUAGUCGAGGAGUCUGGCGUGGAUAAUAAUCGGGUAUUAAGUUGUCUACCGAAGCAGUGGGAUCAUUGAAAUGAUCGGUAGGGGAGCAUUCCAGUCAGCGUCGAAGGCGUACCGCGAGGUAUUCUGGAGCGUCUGGAAAAGCAAAUGUAGGUAUAAGUAACGAUAAAGGGGGCGGGAAACCCCCUCGCCGAAAGACUAAGGUUUCCUGAUCAACGCUAAUCGGAUCAGGGUAAGUCGGGUCCUAAGGCUCAGCCGAACGGCGAGGCCGAUGGCAGAACCGGUUAAUAUUCCGGUACUACCUGUGGGAGUGACGUGGAGACGGAGUCGUGACAGCGCCGCGGACUGACGGAAUAGUCCGUUGAAGGGUGUAGAUGCUGAUUGUUCCAGGCAAAUCCGGAGCAAGAGUCGAACCUGAUAGUAUGGAGCGUUCUUAGAACAAUCCAAUAGUGCGUGUAAUCAUACUUCCAAGAAAAUCCGCUAAACUUAAUCCUGCAGGUACCCGUACCGCAAACGGACACACGUAGUCGGGUUGAAUAUACUAAGGCGCUUGAGUGAUUCACGGUUAAGGAACUAGGCAAAUUGACCCUGUAACUUCGGGAUAAAGGGUCCCUACCCGGUGACGGGAGGGCGCAGAGAAUAGGUCCAGGCAACUGUUUAACAAAAACACAGGGCUGUGCAAAAUUGAAAGAUGAAGUAUACAGCCUGACACCUGCCCGGUGCUGGAAGGUUAAGAGGAGAUGUCAUCGCAAGAGAAGCAUUGAAUUGAAGCCCCAGUAAACGGCGGCCGUAACUAUAACGGUCCUAAGGUAGCGAAAUUCCUUGUCGGGUAAGUUCCGACCUGCACGAAUGGUGUAAUGAUCUGGACACUGUCUCAACCGUGAGCUCGGUGAAAUUGUAGUAUCGGUGAAGAUGCCGAUUACCCGCGAUGGGACGAAAAGACCCCGUGAACCUUUACUAUAGCUUAGCAUUGAAUUUGGGCACGCGAUGUGUAGGAUAGGUCGGAGGCAUUGAAUCGGGCACGCCAGUGUUCGUGGAGCCGCUGUUGAAAUACGACCCUUCGUUUGUUUGAGUUCUAACUUCCGGAUAGAAGGACAUUGCUUGGUGGGUAGUUUGACUGGGGUGGUCGCCUCCAAAAGCGUAACGGAGGCUUCU
rnacentral:rRNA from 1 species